GACGAACGCUGGCGGCGUGCUUAACACAUGCAAGUCGAGCGGGGAACUGUGGAAUGAAGCUUCGGCAGAAUGAAACAGUUUCUAGCGGCGGACGGGUGAGUAACGCGUGAGCAAUCUGUCCCAGACAGGGGGAUAACAGAUGGAAACAUCUGCUAAUACCGCAUAAGACCACGAGGUCGCAUGGCCUUGAGGUAAAAGAUUUAUCGGUUUGGGGUGAGCUCGCGUCUGAUUAGCUAGUUGGUGAGGUAACGGCCCACCAAGGCGACGAUCAGUAGCCGACCUGAGAGGGUGAUCGGCCACAUUGGAACUGAGACACGGUCCAGACUCCUACGGGAGGCAGCAGUGGGGAAUAUUGGGCAAUGGGCGCAAGCCUGACCCAGCAACGCCGCGUGAAGGAAGAAGGUUUUCGGAUUGUAAACUUCUGUCCUUGGUGACGAAGGAAGUGACGGUAGCCAAGGAGGAAGCCCCGGCUAACUACGUGCCAGCAGCCGCGGUAAGAC
rnacentral:rRNA from 1 species